rnacentral:rRNA from 1 species
CAGUCGUACCUUCGGGUAAUCAGCCUUUUCGGGUGCGAUUCUGUGGGGUUUGAUGAGCUUAACACCUUCAUGCUCUGCAUAUUCGUGCUCUUGGGUGUACUUGCCCGUGUGGUUGGUUAACAUCAAUUUUGGUGGUCAUAAAAUGACUGGAGGAAUGUAGCUUCGAUCUUGUAUUGAAGUGUUAUAGCCUUCGGUAGAUGUGAUGAUCGAGAUUGAGGAUUGCAACGGAUACCCUUCGGGGCUACCUGUCUGAUCUCUGAUCGUUGCUCUGGUGCCGAAAGCUUGCUUACGGUUAUCAAAGUCGAUGGUCAAUAGGUUAGAAUGGGUUAAA